CUGUUUUGGGAAACUGGCUGUAGUGGAGGUGUGUAACGACUCCCUUACCUGUGUAAGCACGAGGUUUAUACCUUUUUCGGACCUCUCUUAGUCGCGCUGAACACCAAGGUAGUUCCCGCAUCAAACUUUUAUUUCAUCUGCGUGACAUUGUCCGCUAUUGUGCAUCAGAGGAACGCUGAUUUUUUGCGCUGUGCGUGGGCCUGUGGGUACUUCCAAAUCAUUUACAGUCGUGUGAUCCAGAUUUAUGAAUGGUGCGUUGACAUUGCUGGGGGGCCUGAUCAAGGUGCGCUACAGAGGGCUGCUGUUUCGCUGCUGUGGAAUUUACAGUCGUUGGACAUUCCUGUUGAUGCCCUCAAUCUUCUGACGUUUCAUCCUGUGUGUGUGUGCGUGCGUGUGUGUGUGUGUGUGUGUGUGU